CUUGAUCGAGCCGAGCCAGAACGGCUCCGCCCGGUCCUGGCCGUAGGUCGCCAGCAGGGCGUCGGCCUC
rfam:Nocardia sp. NRRL S-836 P437contig2.1, whole genome shotgun sequence.